rnacentral:rRNA from 1 species
UCCUUAGAUGUUCUGGGCCGCACACGCGCUACACUGAAGGAGGCAGCGUGUACUCCUGGAUCGAAAGAUUUGGGUAACCCGCGAAUCUCCUUCGUGCUAGGGAUUGAGGUUUGCAAUUAUCCUUCAUGAACGAGGAAUUCCCAGUAAGUGCAAGUCAUAAGCUUGCGCUGACUACGUCCCUGCCCUUUGUACACACCGCCCGUCGCUACUACCGAUUGAAUGAUUUAGUGAGGACUUCGGACUGGGACCGAUGCGGCUUUCGGGCUGCGUCGGUAUUCUGGAAAGAUGUCCAAACUGUAUCAUUUAGAGGAAGUAAAANUCGUAACA